GUUCAUUGUCUGAGGUACGGUUAUCCAGUGCAAAUAUACGGUCAGUGCCAUGGUAUUCACUUGCAAUGCCAGUUUGUAGAGCUGAACGUCUGGAAGUUACCUGAGGCAAAGUCGGAAAGAAUGGCAUAAAAGGGCGCCAGACAAUCCUUCCAGAUGAGGCAACACCUCACCUGCGAAUCUGCUCGGCUCAUCGACUGCGUUUGGUAAUCAUGAUGCGGCCUCCUCUGCAAUGGGGAGGAAAUCAGAGCUCCGGGAGGAAACCCACACAGUCAGGGGGAGAAUGUACAGACUGCUUCCAGACAGCAGUGCGAAUCGAACCACAGUCUUAUCCUGGCAUUGUGAUCGUGUUACAUGAACCACUACGGCCCCGCUGCACAGUGUGCAGGAAACCAAGAGGCUUCUGAAAUCACUGCUGUCUUACCUGGUAGAGAACAAGGUGAAGCGUAAUAAAAUAUGGCAGGAGAAGGGGAAAAAAAGUUAGAGUGAAAAUCACUGAAGUGUUCUUGUAAUAUAAAACUAUAAUUGAUGUCAACUUAGCUUAAAUUUAGAUAAACUAGCAUGGAAACAAGCUCCUCUGCACAGUCCUCACCAACUAGCAGGUAUCUACUUACUACAUAAUCCCAUUUUUCAUUCUCUCCAUGUUCCCAUCAGCACUCCCAACACUUAUGGUAGCUCAUAAACCUGUCUACCCGCAUAACGCUGGCAGGUUGGAGGAAACAGGAGGAAACUCACAUAAUCAGAGGGAGAACGUGGAAAUCAGUCAUCGAGUCAUAGAGCAAUAGAGCAAGAUAGUACUUCAGAGUAACAAGUCCAUGCUGACCACAGCAGUCACUAAGCUAGUCCGAAUGUCUUCCUGUCCUCCUGAUUCCACCCAGCCAGCAUCAAUGGUCAGGAUAGAACAUGGUCACUGAAGCUGUGAGGCAGCAUCUUUACUAGCUGCACUAACUCCUAUCAAUACACUGUGCAGUAGCCGGGUGUAUAAAUGGCGGACGGGACGAUGAAUACAGCGCCCUGGUGGAGGACUUUGUCAAAUAGUGCAAGUUGAAUCAUCUGCAGCUCAACAUCAGUAAGACAAGGGGGAUGGUGGUGGACUUUAGGAAGACUAAGCCUGCACUGCUCCCUGUUACCAUUGAUGGUGAGGACCUACAAAUACCUGGGGGUGCACCUGAAUGACAGACUUGAGUAGAUAGAUAGAUAGAUAGAUAUACUUUAUUGAUCCCAUGUAGAGCACCAAUGCAGAGGCUGUGUACAAGGGCCAGAGUCAUCUCAAUUUCUUGAGGAGACUGCGGUCCUUUGGAGUGAACAGGCUUCUCCUUCACAUGUUCUACCAGUAUGCUGUCGCUUGUACAAUCUUCUCUGUGAUGGUGUGCUGGGGCAAUGGCAUCAAUAUGGGUGAUGCCAACAGGCUCAGUGCACUGAUUAAAAUAGCUGGUUCUGUUAUAGGAACCGAACUGGACACACUGGAGGCUAUGAUAGAACAAAGGACCCCACAGAAAGUCCUGGCAAUUCUGGACAAUGUUUCUCACCCUCUGCAUGCCACCUUGGCUGAACAGAGGAGCACUUUUAGUAAUUGACUGAGACAACUGCGCUGCUCCAAGGAGCGCUAUAUGAGGUCAUUCUUACCCUCAGCCAUUCGGCUUUAUAAUGAGUCAACCUGUAGCCGGA